GACAAAUCAUCCUGGUUUGCUUGGGACUGAGGGGUCUUCCAGGAUACAGGACUUUCAGUGCCCAAACUGGGAAGGU
rnacentral:miRNA from 1 species